UUUAUCUUCUCCACACCCAAAAGCUUCAUCCCAUCUCGCUCCCAUCCCUUACCAGUCUGUCCACAAUGUAAUAUCCAGCUUAGGGCUGGGUGGUGACUUUAUAUSUGGAAAUAAUGGACCCAUCRGAUGUCCUGAUUGGACCAUGAGAGAUGGAGGAAACUUGCUGCUCCAGUAGGUUUAGUAAACUUACUGUGACCCCUUCUCUUCAACCCAGCAUGUGAUUCUCGUGUUCUCCUGUCACCUUUCUAUUCCUCUGUCAUUUUUUUGCUUCUCUGACUCAYUUCUUCUCUCCUCCUCUUCUGGUUUUGACUGAAAAUUGAAUGACAUCACCAAGUGGAGCACAUUUUUCCUCUGUGAUAUGGCAGUCACCAAUGCUUCCAGCCUGAUCUUGRCUGAUGUUUAACCCUGCUGACCUCCUUAUAUUUGGUUAGAAGGAUAUUAAGACAAGAUAAUAGGCAUUUCUUAACCUGAUCACCUACAGRAAGGAGGGUUAGGUAAUGACAUGGAUGGAGAACUGGUCUCUUCUCUAUCUGCGUGUCCUACCUUAAUAACUCUUGACUCCCUUGAACUUUUGAGCCAAGUUUGACAGAUGGUGAAGGUCCAAGGACAGUUUAAGUCCUAACAUUUAGUGAAAAGAGGCAGCCACACAGAAGAGAGGACUCUCAGUGCCCCAGCUGUAAAAAAAAGCUUUGGCCAGACUUUGCACCUCCUUAGAUAACAAGAUCAGUCAAGGAAGACACACUAAUCUGUGGGAAACUUUGCUGCCCCUUUUCACUUGACAGUUUGAAAAAUGUUGACCAACACCUUUUAACUGCUGCCUUUCAUAUCCCAAAUAUAGACAGAGCACAACAGAUUUGGACUGAUUUUCAGACACAGUGAGCUUGAUUCAGUUGCCCAAACAUAGACACAAGUCCAUUGACCAGGAGAUUUUGUGAURUACUGCAUUGCCCUCACUCAGUUUUAAGACUUUCAGGAAASGUACAGAGAGAAAGCACGGAGACAGAGCCUUCCCUGCAAAUGCAAAGAGAAAGUGCAACAGCUCUGGCUCAGCCACUCCACACUAAUUUCUCAGGAACUAACUUCUGUUGCAAGAGGGAGAAAAACAUAAAGAUGGUUUGGGUGCUGUCUACUCUGAACUAGGU
rnacentral:lncRNA from 1 species